GACGAACGCUGGCGGCGUGCCUAACACAUGCAAGUCGAACGGAGUUGACCCUUCGGGGUUAACUUAGUGGCGAACGGGUGAGUAACGCGUGAGAAACCUGCCUUUCAGUGGGGGACAACAGUUGGAAACGACUGCUAAUACCGCAUAAUGUCAUUUGGGGGCAUCCCCGGAUGACCAAAGAUUUAUUGCUGAAAGAUGGUCUCGCGUCUGAUUAGCUAGAUGGCGGGGUAACGGCCCACCAUGGCGACGAUCAGUAGCCGGUCUGAGAGGAUGAACGGCCACAUUGGGACUGAGAUACGGCCCAGACUCCUACGGGAGGCAGCAGUGGGGAAUAUUGGGCAAUGGGGGAAACCCUGACCCAGCAACGCCGCGUGAAGGAAGAAGGCCUUCGGGUUGUAAACUUCUUUUACCAGGGACGAACACAAUGACGGUACCUGGAGAAAAAGCAACGGCUAACUACGUGCCAGCCGCCGCAGUAAUAC
rnacentral:rRNA from 1 species